GACGAACGCUGGCGGCGUGCUUAACACAUGCAAGUCGAACGGAAAGGCCCUGCUUUUGUGGGGUGCUCGAGUGGCGAACGGGUGAGUAACACGUGAGUAACCUGCCCUUGACUUUGGGAUAACUUCAGGAAACUGGGGCUAAUACCGGAUAGGAGCUCCUGCUGCAUGGUGGGGGUUGGAAAGUUUCGGCGGUUGGGGAUGGACUCGCGGCUUAUCAGCUUGUUGGUGGGGUAGUGGCUUACCAAGGCUUUGACGGGUAGCCGGCCUGAGAGGGUGACCGGCCAAAUUGGGACUGAGAUACGGCCCAGACCCCUACGGGGGGCAGCAGUGGGGAAUAUUGCACAAUGGGCGGAAGCCUGAUGCAGCAACGCCGGGGGGGGGAGGACGGCCUUCGGGUUGUAAACCGCUUUCGCCUGUGACGAAGCGUGAGUGACGGUAAUGGGUAAAGAAGCACCGGCUAACUACGU
rnacentral:rRNA from 1 species